rnacentral:rRNA from 1 species
GGGCCCGCACAAGCAGUGGAGCAUGUGGUUUAAUUCGAUGCAACGCGAAGAACCUUACCCAGACUUGACAUGUAGAGGACAGGUGCAGAAACGUACCCUUCCGCAAGGACUUCUAUACAGGUGCUGCAUGGCUGUCGUCAGCUCGUGCCGUGAGGUGUUGGGUUAAGUCCCGCAACGAGCGCAACCCUUAUCAUUAGUUGCCAACAGUUCGGCUGGGAACUCUAAUGAGACUGCCUAGGUUAACUAGGAGGAAGGUGAGGAUGACGUCAAGUCAGCAUGGCCCUUACGUCUGGGGCUACACACGUGCUACAAUGGUCGGUACAAAAGGCAGCGAGACCGCGAGGUGGAGCAAAUCCUAUAAAACCGAUCCCAGUUCGGAUUGGAGUCUGCAACUCGACUCCAUGAAGUUGGAAUUGCUAGUAA